AACGAACGCUGGCGGCAGGCCUAACACAUGCCAGUCGAGCGAGGACUUCGGUUCUAGCGGCGGACGGGUGAGUAACGCGUGGGAAUGUGCCCUUCUCUACGGAAUAGCCCUGGGAAACUGGGAGUAAUACCGUAUACGCCCUAUUGGGGAAAGAUUUAUCGGAGAAGGAUCAGCCCGCGUUGGAUUAGGUAGUUGGUGGGGUAAUGGCCUACCAAGCCGACGAUCCAUAGCUGGUUUGAGAGGAUGAUCAGCCACACUGGGACUGAGACACGGCCCAGAAUCCUACGGGAGGCAGCAGUGGGGAAUCUUAGACAAUGGGGGCAACCCUGAUCGAGCCAUGCCGCGUGAGUGAUGAAGGCCUUAGGGUUGUAAAGCUCUUUCAGCUGGGAAGAUAAUGACGGUACCAGCAGAAGAAGCCCCGGCUAACUCCGUG
rnacentral:rRNA from 1 species